rnacentral:tRNA from 1 species
GGUAGAGUCAGCUAACAAAGCUUUCGGGCCCAUACCCCGAAAAUGAAGGUUAUAACCCUUCCCCCGCCA